rnacentral:rRNA from 1 species
ACGGCUGAGGAAGACGGAAGGAACUACCCUUCAGAGGGGGAUAACUCCGCGAAAGCGGGGCUAAGACCGCGUGCGCUCAUUCUGGGGAGAACGGAGUGAGGAAAACCGCGAGGUGCUGAAGGAGGGGCUUCCGGCCCAUCAGGUAGUUGGUGAGGUAACGGCCCACCAAGCCGAUGACGGGUCGCUGGUCUAAGAGGAUGAUCAGCCAGACUGGGACUGAGACACGGCCCAG